AUCUGGUAAUGGCUAUAAUGUAAAAUACAGAAUCCCACAGGAAAGAUUGGGUGUUUAACUUGCAGCCUUAGUAAAAUACAACUGGGGUAACCAUAUCUAACCCACUCUUAAUACAUUUUACAUGGGCGUGAGUAGCUAGCUCAUUACAUACUGCGGUUAGCUUGCUGCAAUGUUUGGGCUCCCUAGUGGCUGUUUAAGGUACUAUCUACAUCGAUGCUAGGGGCGUCACUACACACCCAUGAUCGGUUAUAGGCUGUAUCUCAACUGGCCGUUAUUGGGAGUCCAUAGAGCGGCGCACAAUUAGCCCAGCGUCGUUAGGGUUUGACCGAGUAGGCCGUCAUUGUAAAAAAAUUUAAAGAUAAACUUCCCUGGUUAAAAAACAAAUUGAGCAAUAAAGAUUAUGCACGUGCCAUAAAUAGCGAGCUAGUUUAGCUAAUCACUCAGGACAGCAGAUCACAGGACAUUUGUUUACUCGAUGAGCGUUUUACUUAACGCUAGAACCGAAAUUACUUGACAAUCGUGUAGAACAGACCCAUUAUUAGGCUGACAAUGCAGGGUAGAAUUUAGCCCAUGGGUGGCACUAACUGCCGGCCAAAGUGUUCUGAGCCCCCCCCAAGAAGUCUAUACAUUUUUCUUGGACAAAAUAUUUAAACACCAGGAAAUAUCACCUCCCAAGUUUUUAUUGCAAAAUUCUGUUCAAGUAUUCCCAUGCGUUGGAGGUACCUGAUCGUAUACAAAUGAAAGCAAGAUUUGAAUGAUUAUUUUAGUCACAUCUGUUAGGGCUUCUUGCGGUCAAUUUGCAGUCUACAAAUUAUAUGUAAUUAUAUUUCGCCCGUUUUCUAUUUAGAUUUUAUAUUCACCAGGAUAGUGAUACGGGGGGUUCAGGCAGCCCAACAAAUUAUCCGGUGAAACAAUUCAGUUUACGCUGUGCUAUGGUUUUUGGUUCGUUAACGUCACGUUUAAUUUUUCUCAAUUGCGCUGGCAUUCUACACAUGGUGUAUAAAAAAAUAUUUGGGGGGUUGGGCAUGCUCGACAUGGCCUUCCAGGAUGCAAUCAAAGGGCUCUCACUCCUGACACAAUGCCAGUUUUUCCUCAGACUAAGGGUCACUGUCUGGAGCAGUGGGAAGACUGGCGAUGAUCGGUGGAGGAUCCUCUGAGUUGGCCCGCAUCAUUAGGACUAAAGCCGGAAGCAAGAGGGGUGAAUGCAGGAGAUGAAGAGGAAGGUCCAAGAAAACAUGACCGAGAACAUUGGAGACUGAGCACCAACAACAACUAGCAUAAUGGGUGAGUGAUUCAAUGUAGAGUGCUGCGGGUCCUGACCGAUCAUUGCGGUGCGGUCAGCAUCUUUAACGCUGCGGGUCCCAUAGAUUAUUUGGAAAUGGUCGUCUUUCUGCUUUGUACGCGUUAGCCUAGUACUACAUGUAUUGGACCGUGGUUAGGUUUGGGACCUCUAAUUAAAUGCAAGACUCAUGAUUACCCUACAUUAACAAACAUGAUAUUACAUUACAACUUACCUCUAAACUGUCCUGAUUAAGUUUGGCUGUGCACAGACAUUUUAAAGCAUUUUCCUCUGCUUCAUUCGUUAUUUUUAGGACACUCGGUAGGGUUAUUUUGAAGUCUUGCUGGCAUGGUAGAGUAGUUCCUAACCUAAAAAUACAUUGGUUUAUAUUUUGGUUGUACCUUAAGGUUGCUGGUACCUUAAUUGGAGAGGACUGACUCGUGGUAAUGGUUGGAGUGAAAUGGUAUCAAAUACAUUAAACACAUAGUUUCUAUGUGUUCAAUGCCAUUCCAUUGGUUCCGUUCCAGCCAUUAUUUUGAGCCAUCCUCCCCUAAGCAGCCUCCACUGGUGAAUAUAGUGUGUUUAGUGGUCAGAAUGGGAGUCCAAAUAGUCCUGCAUAACAGGAGAAAUAUCUUGGUUUCUGCAAAGCGUGUCAGUGAGUGGGUCCUAGUCUAGUUUGAGGUGGAAGAAGCAUGUCUUAUUUAAUAUAUUUGUUUUAAAUCAACUUACAUUUCCAUGUUUCAAUCCAUUGUAUUGCUUCCCGAAGGAAAUCCAGCUUGAAGCUGUUCUCUUGUCUGAGAGCCCUCCAUGGAUUUCUAUCCCAGCAAGAUCUAGAAGGAAAAAGCAUGUGUUGGUCUGAUAGUGAUUUCUAUGUGAAAGGUUUUAAACUGUGUAAUACACCCUGUACUGAUUGCAUUUACAUUUGAUUGAACAUACCUUGACUUCAGAAUGUCAAACAGCUUGUUCAUUUUUUUCAGUAACUGGGCUGUGCAGUCCACCUCCGUAGGCAGUUAGCCUAGCUGCAUCGUAGUUUGCAUCCCUUAAGUAAAGUAUUCAUUAGUACUACUACAUCAUGUUUUAUGAUGUAGCUUCUUUUCAUGCCAACAUUUAUUAAUAUUUGUAUAGUUUAUGUGGCGCAGCGGUCACUGCAUCUCAGUGCAAUAGUUGUCACUACAGUCCCUGGUUUGAAUCCAGGCUGAAUCGCAUCCGGCCGUGAUUGGAAGUCCCAAAAGGCGGCGUGCACAAUUGGCCCAGCGUCGUCCGGGUUUGGCUGGGGUAGGCCGUCAUUGUAAAUAAGAAUUUGUUCUUAACUGACUUGCCUAGUUUUAUUUAUAUAUAUAUAUAUAUACAGUGCCUUGCGAAAGUAUUCGGCCCCCUUGAACUUUGCGACCUUUUGCCACAUUUCAGGCUUCAAACAUAAAGAUAUAAAACUGUAUUUUUUUUGUGAAGAAUCAACAACAAGUGGGACACAAUCAUGAAGUGGAACGACAUCUAUUGGAUAUUUCAAACUUUUUUAACAAAUCAAAAACUGAAAAAUUGGGCGUGCAAAAUUAUUCAGCCCCCUUAAGUUGAUACUUUGUAGCGCCACCUUUUGCUGCGAUUACAGCUGUAAGUCGCUUGGGGUAUGUCUCUAUCAGUUUUGCACAUCGAGAGACUGACAUUUUUUCCCAUUCCUCCUUGCAAAACAGCUCGAGCUCAGUGAGGUUGGAUGGAGAGCAUUUGUGAACAGCAGUUUUCAGUUCUUUCCACAGAUUCUCGAUUGGAUUCAGGUCUGGACUUUGACUUGGCCAUUCUAACACCUGGAUAUGUUUAUUUUUGAACCAUUCCAUUGUAGAUUUUGCUUUAUGUUUUGGAUCAUUGUCUUGUUGGAAGACAAAUCUCCAUCCCAGUCUCAGGUCUUUCGCAGACUCCAUCAGGUUUUCUUCCAGAAUGGUCCUGUAUUUGGCUCCAUCCAUCUUCCCAUCAAUUUUAACCAUCUUCCCUGUCCCUGCUGAAGAAAAGCAGGCCCAAACCAUGAUGCUGCCACCACCAUAUUUGACAGUGGGGAUAUGUGUUCAGGGUGAUGAGCUGUGUUGCUUUUACGCCAAACAUAACGUUUUGCAUUGUUGCCAAAAAGUUCAAUUUUGGUUUCAUCUGACCAGAGCACCUUCUUCCACAUGUUUGGUGUGUCUCCCAGGUGGCUUGUGGCAAACUUUAAACGACACUUUUUAUGGAUAUCUUUAAGAAAUGGCUUUCUUCUUGCCACUCUUCCAUAAAGGCCAGAUUUGUGCAAUAUACGACUGAUUGUUGUCCUAUGGACAGAGUCUCCCACCUCAGCUGUAGAUCUCUGCAGUUCAUCCAGAGUGAUCAUGGGCCUCUUGGCUGCAUCUCUGAUCUGUCUUCUCCUUGUAUGAGCUGAAAGUUUAGAAGGACGGCCAGUUCUUGGUAGAUUUGCAGUGGUCUGAUACUCCUUCCAUUUCAAUAUUAUCGCUUGCACAGUGCUCCUUGGGAUGUUUAAAGCUUGGGAAAUCUUUUUGUAUCCAAAUCCGGCUUUAAACUUCUUCACAACAGUAUCUCGGACCUGCCUGGUGUGUUCCUUGUUCUUCAUGAUGCUCUCUGCGCUUUUAACGGACCUCUGAGACUAUCACAGUGCAGGUGCAUUUAUACUGAGACUUGAUUACACACAGGUGGAUUGUAUUUAUCAUCAUUAGUCAUUUAGGUCAACAUUGGAUCAUUCAGAGAUCCUCACUGAACUUCUGGAGAGAGUUUGCUGCACUGAAAGUAAAGGGGCUGAAUAAUUUUGCACGCCCAAUUUUUCAGUUUUUGAUUUGUUAAAAAAGUUUAUAUAUAUAUAUAAAUAAAUAAAAUUAAGUACAGUAUUUUCAAGCAAUAACAGGUUAGUGUAGUGUCUUCAUUGUAAAAAGUGUAUGAAUUUGUAAAUUAUUGUAGAUAUUUAUGUUGCUGUACUUCUUCACCUGUAGAGACUGUGGCUAAACACCUGUGUUGUCAGCUUCACUCGCAUGUUUGUGAAGGGUGGCAGAUUGUGUUUGUCCGUCAGCUUUGGUGACUUCCUGAUUGUGUGCCAUCUUGUAAAACAACACCAGAUGGUCCCAAAUUAUUUAAUCAUCUCUGAUCUGGUGAGUUAAAAGGGAAUGACAGUCAAUUUUUAUUGUUAAAGAAUUAUAUUUUAUAUUUUCCAUUUAAUAAUCUUUGAAUCUACCUUUAUCCCAUGACACUUGAAGUUGUUCUGCACUGAUUUUAACAAGUUUUGAACAUCAAAGAUGAUGGGGAGUUUGUGGUCUUCAACUGUGAUGCAGUGCGCACCGUCUGUGUGUUCCUCAGCAUUUAGACUUGCCCCAAGGAGUUUCAUAGACUUCAUAUUACAGGGUGACUGGUCACACACAACAUUGAUGACCUGUCGCAUUUAAAGUAAUUACUGUAAAUUCCAAAUAUAUAGGAGGGAUGAAACUGGACUAUUGUGUAUAGACAUUGUUACUUAGUCAGUCCUAUGCUUUUUAGUCUCUUUAUUGCCUCCGCCACAAUAUCAGCAGUCUCUUGGGCUGGCGUUGCCGAUUUAGCCAGGAAAUAGCCAAAUGCCUGCGUGGGAGAUGUCAACAAGGCAGGGGUAAGUAAAUGAAGUGUCUUGAGAGUGGAAUUUUAGGAAUGUUUAAACUGUAGUCAUGUAUUGUCUGACAGCUCAGUCACAUAAUUACCUGUUUCCAUUUCGAAGUGACACUCCUAACCAUAACAACCAUUGCCUGAUUGGCAACAUCUCACUUGAUGGUUAAGCUGUCAAUGACGUCAAUCACAGAGAACCUCCGCCCUUUCUUAUUUCUCUGCACACUGCACUGUAGUUUGAAGAAGUCCUUUUAGAUGUGGAGGUAGCGACUCCAUGGCCUCCAACAUUGGAUCCUGUUUUGUUCUACAAAUUUAUAAAUUUGAUAAAUGCAUGAUGAAAUCACCCUAAUUGUAUAACCAAUCCUAAUGCUGUCUAUUAGAAGUCAACAUAUGUGUUAUUCCAGUCUAUAAGACGACGGUAUACUUGGUUUUGAUGGCUUUUAGUCUUGCGGAUUUUGACACUUUAUUUUCCAGGAGCCGUAUUCUCUUAAAAACGAAACAUCUGUUUUGUUAUUUUUGUUUCAAUGUGUGAACAAUUAAUCACUGUGGGUGUAUUAUUAUUAUUAUUAUUAUUAUUAUUAUACUUUAGACUUCCUUCAAUUGGAUGAUGGCCUCCUCCUGCAUGACAUCUGUUACAUGCUGCUUGCUUUGACACCUGAGCUUCCUGUAUGCUCAUAAGGACGCCUUCUUCUGUCACCUGAGCCGCCUCCUGUAUGCUUGUGAGGAUGCCUCCUGCCACCUCUGUCACCUAACAGACCACCUCCUGCAGACCACCUGAACUAAAUUCAGCAUCUGCUGCUUCCUCUGCUGGAGCUGGGUCUACGCUCGCCUUCACUCUCUUGUUCUCUCGGUCUGUCUCACCUAAAACUCCUACAUCUGCUUCCCUGUCCUCUCCUUCAAAAAUAGAACUUUCAAGACUUUAAACCUGUUGUAUUAAUAUAAAACAAUAAUGAUGCAUCUUUAAUCGCUACGUAUUUUGUAGUUGGUUCACUUCUAUUUCUACAACGCUGUGCAUCUGUGGCAGAUUGAGGGGGUGGAUUCAUGCCAUUUAUUCUGGUAGGUACUGCCUCGGAGGACAGCGUCUUCUGUGAACUGCCUUCUGCCUCGGAGGACAGCGUCUUCUGUGAACUGCCUUCUGCCUUGGGAGGACAGCGUCUUCUGUGAACCCUGUUGAAAGAGACAUUUUUACCAGAAAAGGAUUUACUGAAAUUUAUUUUUAUUGACAAAGUUAGUAGCUGUACCUUAAUCAGAAUAAAACUCUUCAAAGUGCACCUCU